AUUGAACGCUGGCGGCAGGCCUAACACAUGCAAGUCGAGCGAGAGGCGGACGGGUGAGUAAUGUCUGGGAAACUGCCUGAUGGAGGGGGAGAACUACUGGAAACGGUAGCUAAUACACCAUACAAUAAGAAGUGCCCAGAUGGGAUUAGCUAGUAGGUGGGGUAACGGCUCACCUAGGAGACGAGCCCAAGCUGGUCUGAGAGGAUGACAAGCCACACUCUAACGGAGACACGUUCCAGACUCCUACGGUAGGCAGCAGUGGGGAAUAUUGCACAAUGGGCGCAAGCCUGAUGCAGCCAUGCCGCGUGUGUGAAGAAGGCCUUCGGGUUGUAAAGCACUUUCAGCGGGGAGGCGUUACCCGCAGAAGAAGCACCGGCUAACUCCGUGCCAGCCGCCGCGGUAAUUC
rnacentral:rRNA from 1 species